GACAUACUCCCUCCGUCUUAAAAUUUUUGUCUUAGAUUCGUCUAGAUACGGAUGUAUCCAAUACUAAAACGUGACUUGAUACAUCCGUAUUUAAACAAAUCUAAGACAAGAAUUUUGAGACGGAGGGAGUACAAU
rfam:Triticum aestivum genome assembly, contig: Triticum_aestivum_CS42_TGACv1_scaffold_594609_7BS